rnacentral:rRNA from 1 species
AUGCCUUACAGGGCUUUCAUUGUCCUCAUCCCAAAAGGAGUGGCUCCCCCAUCUCCCGACGCCUUCCGCCCAAUCUCACUUCAAAACUGCCCUCCCAAAGCGCUGGCUAAAUUACUUGUAAAUCGCCUCAAACCCGUUAUACCUGCUCUUGUCCACCCUGACCAGACAGGUUUCCUCUCAGGUAGAACUAUUUCUGAGAAUUUUCUCUAUGCUGCAGACGUUCUCCAUGUCUGUGCUAGGACCAAAGCCCCAAUGUUGGUUUUUAAACUGGACUUCUCCAAAGCUUUCGACUCAGUCUCUGGGCCUACUCUUCUAUCUAUUCUUCGUGUCCGGGGCUUUUCAGAAAAAUGGCUCGGAUGGAUAAGCUCGUUGCUUACCUCUAGCAAAAGCGCGGUGCUCUUGAAUGGAUCACCUGGCCCGUGGAUCCAGUGUAAGAACGGCCUCCGGCAGGGCGACCCACUCUCCCCUUUCCUCUUCAUCAUCAUCGCAGAUGUCCUUCAAAGAAUGAUUAUAAAUGCUUGUGCACAAAAUCUCCUAGCACACCCAGUCUCCACUACCCUCCCCUGCCUGGUUCUACAGUAUGCUGACGACACACUUAUCAUUAUCAAAGCCGACCCCCUAGCUGCAACCAACCUCAAAAAAAAUCCUUGA